rnacentral:tRNA from 1 species
AGCCUUAUAUUCAAAAAAAGAAUGAUAUAAAAUUGCAAAUUUUAAGGUGAAUUUUUUUCUAAGGCUU